rnacentral:tRNA from 1 species
CGCCCGGUGGCCGAGGAUCAAGGCGCGCGGCUGCAGACCGCGACACGGGGGUGAGAGUCCCUCCCGGGCGUCCA